UUCAAACCGUGCUGUGUGUUGGAAGCUCAGGACUCAGGAGAUAUGAGGACAAGGAACGAUGUUUCCCUUUUUUUGGUCACUCGGAAACAGUGAGAUAGGACCAAGGCAGGGAGACACGGGAACGCCUGAAACUGAGUAGCCUUGGAAUGCACCCAGUGUAUAACAAACUCUUGAGGGCAUAUCUUAAGAGUGGGAGGUGACACAGAUGUGGAUAUGGAUGGUAAUGCUGCUAAGAUGGAAGAGAGGGUGCGGCAUCCAAGGUGGUGUCGGAAGCUUGACUACUCCAGGAUCAUAAAAGGCUAAGCUUUGUCAGUUCACCUGCUCCUCAGCUUCUGAACAUUUAUUUUUUAAUAGAUGCAUCCCUGCUUGUCAAAGGGAAGAAUACGAGUGGGCCUCACGAAAGUGGAAGUGUAUAUUUAUGAAUCCACCACUAGAUCAUGCAUAGAUUAUAUCAUUUGUAGGCGAAAGUGGAAGUGUAUAUUAUUACAAGCGUUCAAGGAUGGUGCAAAACUUGGGUUCCAAAGCAGAUAUUGUAGUUGAGCAUCAUGCAUGGAAAGCAAAACAGUGCAAGACACAACCCCAAACAGCAUGCUAGAUCAGUUGUGGAGACAACUAGGAAACUAGUUGAAUGGAUAUUUCAUUUUCGAGUUGUAUAAUGAAUCUUAGGUGCCCCGAGGUACUGUGUACAUGAAUUUUAGCUAAAUUCAUCUUCCUUCAUUGGCGCAUUAUAUUAAAUUUGUUAUCUAUUGUAUAUAACUAACUUGGAGGUUCAAUUUGUGCUUGACCUCUCCUUCGUCAUUUGUAAGCUUGUAUUAA